ensembl:processed_transcript
CUGUUGAAUUCACCUCAGAUCAGUGUUGCUGUAAUUCCUGAUCUAUGGAAAGAAGAAUUGAAUAAGCGAGCAACGCCACAACUACAGGGCCUGUUCUUUCUCUACUCAUAAUUUAAGUAACUGGAUUAUCCGUUGAAUUUGUUUCUUCCUCUGACUGCUUUCUCCAUACCAACAACUACGACUGGUCUUCAGCUGCGCUCCCCGGUCUGCUGUAUUCUCCAGUCCAGAGUUUCACUGCCCAGUGUUUGAAUUUUAAUUUAUAUAUUUAUUUAUAUAUUUAUUUACAUUUUAAUGAUUUCUUGUUUACUUUUCUUGUUUGUUUACCCUUUAGUUUAAUUUAUAUAUAUAUACUUUUAUAUAUUUAUAUAUAUAUAUCUAAACUUUAUUUUAUACUGUUUGCUUAUAAUUAGAUACUGUAUGUGUACUGUAUGUAUUAAAUGUUGUGAAAUAUAUAAUAAAAAGUUUGAUUAU